GCCUGUUUGAGAAUCUAUAGUAUUCAUUCUCCUUCUUGGUUAAAUUUAUUUGACCUUGAAGGCGAGAUUUGAGACGUCCCUCUUACCCAGGGUGUCUUUAAAACUAUUGCUGCCAACAGUGGAAAUUUGCCAACUGCAGAACAGUAUGUGCAUGAAAUCUCGGUUUCUCUAAUGCUACUUACGCAGAAGGACUUUGUUUUCUACCGAGGUACUCAACUAUUAAAAGCUAUUGUGAAUUCUAAACUUUGGUUAAGAAUGAACUGGUAGUCUUUGAACCAUGGUCUCAAAUCAGGCAGGAAGACCCGCUGAACUUAAGCAUAUCAAUAAGCGGAGGAAAAGAAACUAACAAGGAUUCCCCUAGUAACGGCGAGUGAAGCGGGAACAGCUCAAAUUUGGAAUCUCACAGGUACACUGUGCGAAUUGUAGUUUAGAGAAGCGUUAUCGGCGGCGAACUCGGUACAAGUUCUUUGGAACGAGACAUCAUAGAGGGUGAUAAUCCCGUCUUUGACCGAGGGCUAGCUGCUAUGUGAUGCGCUUUCCAAGAGUCGGUUUGUUUGGGGAAUGCAGACCAAAAUGGGUGGGUAAGUACCAUCUNAAAGCUAA
rnacentral:rRNA from 1 species